UCGUUUAACCUGUUUAAUAUUCAGAUUAGGUUGAGUCAAAUAACCUGUUUCACCCAUUUAACACAUUUAAGGUCUAUUUAACCUAUUUAAAAUCUGCUUAAUAUAUUUCUGACAUAUUUAACCUGAUCUAUUUAGUCCAUUUAAUCCAUUAAAAAUCUAUUUAAUCUAUUUAAUCUAUUUAAUCUAAUCUGAUAUAUUUAAUAAAUGAAUUAAGCGGA
rnacentral:lncRNA from 1 species